ACGGCUGUGGUGCAGUGGUUAACAUUCGAGCUUCCCAAGCUUGAGACCCGGGUUCAAAUCCCGGCAGCCGUA
rnacentral:tRNA from 1 species